CGCCCAUUAAAGCGGUACGCGAGCUGGGUUCAGAACGUCGUGAGACAGUUCGGUCCCUAUCCGUCGCGGGCGCAGGAAAUUUGAGAGGAGCUGUCCUUAGUACGAGAGGACCGGGAUGGACGCACCGCUGGUGUACCAGUUGUCUUGCCAAAGGCAUAGCUGGGUAGCUACGUGCGGACGGGAUAAGGGCUGAAAGCAUCUAAGCAUGAAGCCCCCCUCAAGAUGAGAUUUCCCAUGGCGCAAGCUAGUAAGAUCCCUGAAAGAUGAUCAGGUUGAUAGGUCAGAGGUGGAAGCGUGGCGACAUGUGGAGCUGACUGAUACUAAUAGAUCGAGGACUUAACCAAC
rnacentral:rRNA from 1 species